rnacentral:misc_RNA from 1 species
AAGUCGUAACAAGGUUUCCGUAGGUGAACCUGCGGAAGGAUCAUUACCGAGUUAGGGUCUAUUCAGGCCCGACCUCCAACCCUGUGUUUACAUUACCAUGUUGCUUUGGCGGGCCCGCUCUUCGGGGCCGCCGGGGGUUUUAUCACCCCUGGCCCGUGCUCGCGGCUGUCAUUAUCAAUUUACUUUAUCGUGUGUGUCUGAGUCUAAAUAUAAAUCGUUAAAA